rnacentral:lncRNA from 1 species
GAUCAAUUUAAGGGAGGCUGUUGAAAUUAUAUAAAUUGAUCAAAAAUAAUUAAAAUAGACUAGUUUUUAAAAUAAAAGUAAAAAAUGGUAGUCAAGAACAUUGGUUGUCUUGCAUGACAAAAUUGUUUUAUAUAAGUUUGAAUUUUCUUACAUGCCAUGUUUGAUUAUUUUUGUAUGCCAAUGUUGAAUUUUUGGUGUAAGGUUUUAGUAUAAAUAGGUUGUAGAACUCAUUUGUAAAAUCAUACCAAAAACUUGUAUUAGAAAUUACAAGUGUAGUAUUGUAAGCUUUGAGUUUGAGUUAGCAAAUAUAUUUUUCUUUCUCG